UACGAAGGGUGCAAGCGUUACUCGGAAUUACUGGGCGUAAAGCGUGCGUAGGUGGUUUGUUAAGUCUGAUGUGAAAGCCCUGGGCUCAACCUGGGAAUUGCAUUGGAUACUGGCAGGCUAGAGUGCGGUAGAGGAUGGCGGAAUUCCCGGUGUAGCAGUGAAAUGCGUAGAGAUCGGGAGGAACAUCUGUGGCGAAGGCGGCCAUCUGGGACCAGCACUGACACUGAGGCACGAAAGCGUGGGGAGCAAACAGGG
rnacentral:rRNA from 1 species